rnacentral:rRNA from 1 species
CGCCAGACUCCUACGGGAGGCAGCAGCGGGGGAUAUUGCACAAUGGGGGGAACCCUGAUGCAGCGACGCCGCGUGGGUGAAGAAGCGCCUCGGCGCGUAAAGCCCUGUCAGCAGGGAAGAAAAUGACGGUACCUGAAGAAGAAGCCCCGGCUAACUACGUGCCAGCAGCCGCGGUAAUACGUAGGGAGCAAGCGUUGUCCGGAAUUACUGGGUGUAAAGGGAGCGUAGGCGGGAUGGCAAGUUGGGUGUUAAAUCUACCGGCUCAACUGGUAGUCGCACUCAAAACUGCUAUUCUUGAGUGAAGUAGAGGCAGGCGGAAUUCCUAGUGUAGCGGUGAAAUGCGUAGAUAUUAGGAGGAACACCAGUGGCGAAGGCGGCCUGCUGGACGAUGACUGACGUUGAGGCUCGAAAGCGUGGGGAGCAAACAGGAUUAGAUACCCGAGUAGC